GACGAACGCUGGCGGCGUGCUUAACACAUGCAAGUCGAACGGAAAGGCCCUUCCUUUGUGGGGUGCUCGAGUGGCGAACGGGUGAGUAACACGUGAGUAACCUGCCCUUGACUUCGGGAUAACUUCGGGAAACUGGGGCUAAUACCGGAUAGGAGCUCCUGCUGCAUGGCGUGGGUUGGAGAGUUUCGGCGGUUGGGGAUGGACUCGCGGCUUAUCAGCUUGUUGGUGGGGUAGUGGCUUACCAAGGCGUUGACGGGUAGCCGGCCUGAGAGGGUGGACGGCCACAUUGGGACUGAGAUACGGCCCAGACUCCUACGGGAGGCAGCAGUGGGGAAUAUUGCACAAUGGGCGGAAGCCUGAUGCAGCAACGCCGCGUGCGGGAUGACGGCCUUCGGGUUGUAAACCGCUUUCGCCUGUGACGAAGCGUGAGUGACGGUAAUGGGUAAAGAAGCACCGGCUAACUACGUG
rnacentral:rRNA from 1 species